AAAUCCUAAAUCCUAAACUCUAAAACCAUAAAAGAAACAAAAUGUUUUUUUUUUUGAGAAAGAGGUAGCUGUUAGAAAAUUGCGUACGGUAAAACGCAGCGGAAAAGGAAAUCAAACAAAUUUGAUUUUGAAAAACUCUCGAGAUCUAAUCUCAAAAACCACGCAAUUAGGAUCCCUCAUGUUCUUUAAGAUUAAAGGAGAAAAGUAAGAUCGAAUCAUUACCUUUUUCGCGGAUAAAUUCUUGCCUCAAUUUGAUGAUCGUNG
rnacentral:lncRNA from 1 species